ACUUGAUGAUGUAGACAUUUACGUAGCAAGUCCUUGAAAUGCUCCCAGGUCUUAAAGAAAAGUUCCUCAUCCGUUUGUGUGAAACUUGUGAUUGCCCUUUGCAGCU